AGAGUUUGAUCCUGGCUCAGGAUGAACGCUGGCGGCGUGUCUAAGGCAUGCAAGUCGCGGGAUCGGUGCACCUUCGGGUGUAUACGGACCGGCAAACGGGUGAGUAACACACUGGUAACCUACUCCCGAUUCAGGGAUAGCUCCGGGAAACCGGAAUUAAUACCUGAUAGUCAUGCGGGGACAAAAGUCAUUCGCAUGUAAAGUUUCGACGAUCGGGAAGGGGCCUAUGGCUGAUUAGCUUGUUGGUAAGGUAAAAGCUUACCAAGGCUAUGAUCAGUAGCAGGCGUGAGAGCGUGACCUGCCUCACUGGGACUGAGACACUGCCCAGACUUCUACGGAAGGCUGCAGUCAAGAAUAUUCCACAAUGGGCGAAAGCCUGAUGGAGCGACGCCGCGUGCAGGAAGAAGGCCUUCGGGUUGUAAACUGCUUUUCUAAAGGAAGAACUCGUGACGGUACUUUAGGAAUAAGAGGUGGCUAACUCUGUGCCAGAAGCCUCGGUAAUACAGAGACCUCAAGCGUUAUCCGGAUUCAUUGGGCGUAAAGCGUCCGCAGGUGGUAAUUUAAGUCAUCGGUCAAAUCCUCGGGCUUAACUCGAGGACUGCCGCUGAUACUAUUUUACUUGAGGCUGGAAGAGGCAAGCGGAACACACGGUGUAGUCGUAAUAAGCGCUGAUAUCGUGUGGAACACCAAAGGCAAAGGCAGCUUGCUAGUACAUGCCUGACACUCAUGGACGAAAGCGUGGGUAGCGAAUGGGAUUAGAUACCCCAGUAGUCCACGCCGUAAACGAUGCGCACUAGGUUUUGGGAGUAUCGACCCUCCCAGAGCCGUUUAAAAAAGCUAACGCGUUAAGUGCGCCGCCUGGGGAGUACGGCCGCAAGGUUAAAACUCAAAGGAAUAGACGGGGACCCGCACAAGCGGUGGAUCAUGUGGUUUAAUUCGAUGAUACGCGGCGAACCUUACCUGGACUUGACAUAUAGCUGCAAGCCCGCAGAAACGCAGGCCGCUUUCGAAGGUGCUAUACAGGUGCUGCAUGGUUGCCGUCAGCUCGUGCCGUGAGGUGUACCCUUAAGUGGGGUAACGAGCGCAACCCUCGCUCUGUGUUAAAUGUACACAGAGGACUGCCGGCGCAAGCCGGAGGAAGGUGGGGACGACGUCAAAUCAGCAUGGCUCUUACGUCCAGGGCUACACACAUGAUACAAUGGCCAGUACAAUGGGUUGCCAAGCCGCAAGGUGGAGCUAAUCCCAAAAAGCUGGUCUCAGUUCGGAUUGAAGGCUGAAAUUCGCCUUCAUGAAGUUGGAAUCGCUAGUAAACGCGCAUCAGCUACGGCGCGUUGAAUACGUUCUCGGGUCUUGUACUCACCGCCCGUCAUACCACGAAAGCUGGGGGCACCCGAAGGUCCUUUAGGGGAGCUAAGGUGAAUUCAGUAAUCAGGGUAAAGUCGUAACAAGGUAA
rnacentral:rRNA from 1 species